AUCAUAAAUGUGAUGUGUAAUUGUAGGGAUCAAAAUGUAAAUAAAAAUAUGAAACUUCAAAUUUGAAGUUUUGAGUAGUGAAACUUCAAAUUUAGAGUUUUACUCCUCAAAACUUCAAAUUUGAAGUUUUGAAGUUCCUUUUUGGAAAGCAAAAAACUUCAUAUUUGAAGUUAUAGAGUGUCUUUUGGAGAUGCUCUUAGUGGUGAAGUGAGUUUCUGAUGUAAAACAUAUUGAAUUUCAAUAACUUUAUCUUUAAGCAUUUGUUGAUAUAAGAUUAACGGCAUCAAAAUUGUAUUUUAAUUUUUCACAUUUUUGAACAUUACACUUUUUAGGUGUUUUUUGCACUCUCCUCAUCUUUUGACCUUGAGCCGUCACCAUCUAUGUAUUUCGUUUACCUCUCCGGUAUGCAGUGAUUCUCACCAUCACUGGGAAAAGACUAACCUCCGUGCUCUUGUUUUUCCGCACCUUCUUUUUCUAUGAGAUUAUCUGGUAUUUGUUAUAGAUCAAGCAUAUUAGUUUCAUGUUGUGCGGUAGUUUCUUACGGCGUUGUAUGUUAUUUCGGUCAAUAUUGGUCCUCUUUUUCUUUAGGUUUUGGCUAAGGCUAGAAACUACAUCUCGUUGGGUUGGGUCAGAGUUUAGUUGUCAUUGAUGUUGCUUUCCUCGUCGUUGGUUUGCCGUCAAUAGUCUCCGCUUGUCUUGGUUUUCAAGAUCGGGUUUUUGGUGAUAUGACUUGUAUGCUAUUUUUCAUAGCUCGAGGAUGGUUCCACGGUUUGUUGAUUUCAUUAUAUCUUUUUUUUUAUCUUUUUGUUCUCUCAUCUCGUUGCACCUUUCAUCGAUGAUCACGUCUCUUAUGGCUCUCCCUUUCACCAUAUUUGCUACUCUAGGGUUCGAUAAUAUUUUUCUCUGUGUAUGCUUUGUACGCUUGGAAGGUUGUUUAUGGUCUCAAGCUUAAGCUUUGGUUUCUCGGUGGUUGGCUUCCAUUCUCUUUCACUCAGGUUGUUUGUCUUCUUCUCAUGCAUCCUUUGGUGUAGGUGUGCGGAUUUAGUCUUUUGGAACUUUGAUUUCUUCUGUUCAGAGUUUUGUGGUUCUUCGCUGGCAUGAGCGCCUUGUAUGUGCUUGUUUAGUUUAUGAAGUACUUCUUAUCUCUUAGCUGGUGGUUAUGUUUCCGAUGCUUUAGACAUACAUCUUUUUUUUCGUGGUGACUUUGUUCUUCCAAUGAUUAUUCUUUCUCUUACCCACUUUUUUUGUUUUUUUUUUGCGCUGAUGCUUGAUCGCGAUCCUUUGUGUUUUGGGGAUUGCUUUAUCCCAUAUUUUAUAUUUUUACCUUUUUUCUGAAAUCUGCUUGUUCUUGCCAAGAUAUUCUAUGGUAAGAUGAGAUAGGUUAGUCUUCUUUGUUGAUAUUUUUCAGCUUCAAACCUUUAUUGAGUUAGUGUUACUAUGGUAUUUUACUUUUUCUCUCUAACUGUGGAAGUUUUAUGUCUAGAUUAUGUAUUGCACUCUAAUUUCUUCUUAUUAUUUUGGUCAUUUUAUAUUUUUAAUAGUUUAAUAAAUACAUAAUUUGUAAAUUAAAUAAUAGAAAAUGAUAAAAAUAAUAAAAUAACAAAAAUUUAUGUUAUGUUUAGUUAUGAAUAAAUUAAAUAUGUAAAAUAUAUUUUUAUUAUUUCUUUAUUCAUCUUGAAUUUUAGUGAACAAUAAAAUAGAUUAUCAAACUUCAUACGAUAAUAGUUAGUGCGAAAAGGAUAAGAUAUUUCACGAAUAAAAAGUACUUGGCCAAAUUGCAAUAAUCUAAAAAAAGAAUGACCUAAAAUGUAAAAAAAAACAUGGAUGACACGUGUCGCAAAAACUCCACGUCACUUGUAAGAACAAGGGAAAAACCAACUAUAUAUAUAUAGAUUGUUAACUUUGUUACAUUAAGCGGAGAAGACACAAUGAACAUCAAAGCAGUUCUUUCUUAUGAACAAAAUUGAAGAAACACUAGUGGAAAAAUAUUACUUGGUUAUGGGGGUGCUUUAAGUGCAGUCCUUGUAUUAUAUAUUAUUUAUUUUAAAUUCAAUAAAAAACUAAUAUGUACUAUACAUUCAAUUAAAAACUAAGGUUCAACUAAUACAUGUUUUCUUAUUUAAACUAGAUUCAUCAUCUAAAUUUUUUGGUCAUUCUUUAAACUAAUAAAUAAAAUUAAAUGACAUGUUUUAUACUUUUAUGAAAACAUCUCUUAUAUUUUAAAUGUAUUUAUAAUUUUUUUAUGAUUUUUAAGAUCUCUUAUACUUAUUUAUUCAAUAUUAAAACUCCAAAAUAUUAAAAUAUUGUACCAAAAGAUAAACUUAUUUCAAAUUAUCCAAAUUUAGAUAUAUAUUUUAUUUUAAGCUUAGAAUAAUUAUAUAUAUAUAUAUAUAUAUAUUAAUUUUUAUUAUAUUCUGAAUAAUGUUAUUGUAUUUAAAAAUAUUUUAUAAAGGAACUAUUUUAAUGGGGAAAUGUUUUGUUUACCACUUUCAUGGUACCAGUUUUCAUCUUUACCACCACUAAAUGGACAUUUUCAAAAAUACAGUCUUCAUUAAUUGGCAAAAAACUCUUAUACCUUUGUUAUCUAUAUAUAAUAAUAAAUCAUUAUUUACAUAAAUAAAUAAAAUAAAUUUUAUGUUUUCGAAUUAUACUUUUUCAAAUUUGAACUUUUUUAUAAUUUUUGUUGAAUUUUUUUUGUUCGUAAUUUUUUUAUUUUUUUAAUUUAUUUUUGAAAAUCGAAAAUUAUGUUUGAAACUAUUUUUUAUAUUUUUCUUACAUAUUUAAGUAUUUACUUAUAUAUUUAUUAGAAUCAUAAACUUCACAUUCCAAAAACCCUACCCCGCUCCUCAACUCUAAACCCUAAGUCUAGAUUAGUUAAUCAUAGAAGUAUAAGUGUUUUUUUACCAUUCAUUAAAAGUGAGAGUAAAAAUAAUUAGUGUAAACAUGAAAAGUAGUACUAUUAAUGUGAUCAAUGCCGUGCGAGGAUUUUUGGGGGCUCAAGGCGAAUUUUAAAAAUAAAUUUCUACAAUAUGUAAUAAAAAUAUAACUUUUUUUAAUUUGUAAUAUAAAAGUAAAGGUCAAAAUGAUAAGUAGAAAACUGGUAUUUUUAGAGAAAGUUAAAAUAAUGAUUUGGUAUUAAGAAAGAUAAAAAUAAACAUUUAAAUACAAUGAUAAAAUAAUAAAAAUAAAAGUAAAUAAUAACAAUAUUGAAUAAAAUAAUGGUAGAUAAAGUAUAGAACAUUUUGUCGUUUAAAAAAAUGAUGAUAGAUAAAAAAUAUGUAUGUUAAAACAUAUUAUUUAUAUUUUCUAUAAACUAUUUCAUCAAACUAUCAUAAUGUAUAAAUAAAAAUACAAAUAGCUAACUUUUGGUAAGGAAAAAAAUUGGAUUAUAAUAAGUAACAAACGCAAAACGAAAAUCAGAACUGUGAGUUAUACCAUGUCAGUUCUUCAAUUAAUUCUUUGCAUUUUAGUUAUAGCACAUCUUGAAUUUUAUUAGAAUAAAAGCAUUCAUCGAAAACAAAAAUCAAAUUCAGAAUCAUGUGAAUUAAAAUCUACCUAAAACUAUACAUUUAGCUCUACAGAAUAGUUUUAUGAAAUUAGAAACCCUAAAAAUUGUAUAUUUUACGGGGGCCUAAGACAGAAGCCUUAUCAAAACUAUGGUAAGCACGCCUUUGAAUGUGAUAUUGGUGGUAAUUUUCCGAAGUGUAUCAACGAAUAGUAUCAAAAUGUUAUUGUUUGACGUGAGUGGGUUCCAUCUAUUAAACGCAUAUGAAGUCCAAGCUCCAAAGUGGCACUAGAGGGCGAUUAUCGCAUUGAUAAACUUAGGCCUUGAAUGUGUGCAGCUGGUUGAAAAGAAGCGGAGAAAGGAUUAAAAUUGUAACCAUAUAUUCAGCUUUUCUUGUCCAAUAAGGUAAUAACUAUUAACUAGGAUAACAAGCGCAUGGUGAAAUAUUUAUUAAAAAACUUAUGUUUUUAUAUUAUAAAAUCUGAUAAUUUCUGAAUACAUGUGUCUUGUGGUCAAUAUAUAUUUGGUAUUUAUUGCUUUUCAAUAUAAAAUAAAUAACUAACUAUAAAUAUUUGGUACACAUAGAAAAAAAUAUAGAAACCCAAAUCAAACAAUUAAAAUGUGAUAUCAUUGAUACUCCUAUAAUCAUAAAUUAAGAGUUGUGAAAAAAUUUAAUGGUAUUUUCAAGGGAAUACUCAACCGUAUAUAUAUAGUAAGCAUAGCUAGGUUUUCGAAUUGUUUUGAAAGUUAAAAUAAUCAGCUUUAAUUAUCUAAAAACUGUAUUUUAGCAUGAUAUAUUGAACUAAUAUUUAUGUAAAUUUUCAAUAAGUACCACAAAAAAAUUUGGCAAGUUGUUUUCAAUGUUCGAAAUUAUAAACUUGGUGACAAAGUAUAUUAUUAUCUUAAACUAAACUUAUCAUAUAGAACUUCUUCAAAAUAUUGCACCAAGCUUAAAAAUUUGGUGGAAGCAUUAACUUGGUGGAAAAGUUUAUUAUUUAUUUAAACAGCCAUGUAUAAAAACAAUUAAUUUAAACUUACCAAAAGAGUUUGAUUCUAAAAUUGUGUUUCACGAAAAUUUGGUUCAAAUUUUAUGAUUUUUUAUUGUCUUUUAACGAUAAUAAUACCGGCGGUUUACGAUUGAUCCUCCUUCGAUUCAAUUGAAAUUAAACGAACAUUUAAGCGACCUUAAUUAUAGAUUAUCUGAAAUAAGUAGUUGUUUUUUAAUUAAACAUAUUGUAUUGACAAAUUUAAGAUUUAUAUAUGAUCAAAUUUUUUUUAUAUGUAUACAUUUUUUGAUUGUUUACAUAAUCAUAUAUAUGUUGGGCCGAUACAUUUGGAUAUUUUCUUUUACUAACUUAUCAGUAAAUAAAAAUUUAUAUAUUUUUGAUUUUGAAAUUACACUAAUUUUCAAAAUAUCAGAUUUUUACUUUCUUUUUGACAACAUAAGAUGGAAAAUUAAAAUAUUAAAAAUACAAUUACAAAUUGGAUUAAGCUUAUAAUUUGAAGUAUAGUUUGGUUUUGGGCCACAUUAAGACAAUAUAAAAUUUUGCAGCCCGGCUAUUAUUAUACUUAAAGCUAAAAUAUAGGCAGAUAAUCGUAUUAUUUGUUUGCAACCGAUACUUUGUAUAUGAUGAAAGUUAUAUUAACGUGAUAUAUAUCAUUAACUACUAGAAAGGUCAUUAUUAAUGUUUUCCUAGACUAGGAAAAAUUAGGCAGGUGCCAAAGAUUUUUCUUAAUCUUCAAUAUAAAUUUCAUAAUUUUAGUUCUAAAGAACUGUAUUGCAAGAAAAAAUAUUUGAUAUAUAAGUUUGUUAGAUAAUAACAAAACAACUUAAUUUAUGUAUUACUCUUUAUAUAAAUUUCUGUAGGCGAGGAAGGCCUGAGAACCGAACAAUAUUCUUCUUUUUUUCUUUUAUUAACAAAGUAAUUUUGAGUAGUUGCGUCUCUUUGCUAUUUUUUUAUCAAAGCGUCUCUUUGCUAUUAAUAAAAAAAAGAACAACACUUGAAAAAAUCAUUACUUUCCGAUUUAUAACAAAAACAUGCAAUAUUUAGGCCAUAAUAUAUAGCAAACUUUGAUUUAAAUUGUUGUGCAAGUAAUACAGAAUAAGAAUAUAUCUUACAUCUUUAAAAACAUUAUUAUGUUGGAUCACAAUAUAAAUCAACUUUGAGUCAUUUAAAAAAAAGUCGCAUUUAAUAAGAUCAUCGAGUAUUAAUUUAAUGAGAUUGCCGAGUAUUAAGUUUAUUAUAUAAUAUACAUCUUUGUUUGGAUUAAUAUAAGUUUUUCUAUCAAUUGGAUUUUGGACUUACUAAUUUUUCAAUUGAUUCUUAUGGUGUUACGUAUGCCAAAUUACCACCUAAGCAAUACUCUUUUUUAAUUAAUACAAACUUAAAAUUACAACAUUUUAACUAUUUUCCUAUUAAUAUAUAGGGGAUUGGUGGAUGCUACAACACAUGAAGUAAGGCAUCAUAAAGUACGCAAAAAUAAGAAAA